rnacentral:rRNA from 1 species
UACGUAGGGGGCAAGCGUUGUUCGGAAUCACUGGGCGUAAAGGGCGCGUAGGCGGCUUCGUAAGUGGUGUGUGAAAUGUCCUGGCUCAACCAGGGAAUUGCGCUCCAAGCUGCGAGGCUUGAGGGCAGUAGAGGAAGCUGGAAUUCCAGGUGUAGCGGUGAAAUGCGUAGAUAUCUGGAGGAACACCGUUGGCGAAGGCGAGCUUCUGGGCUGUCCCUGACGCUGAAGUGCGAAAGCUGGGGGAGCAAACAGG